rnacentral:rRNA from 1 species
GAUGAACGCUGGCGGCGUGCCUAAUACAUGCAAGUCGAGCGAAUGGAUUAAGAGCUUGCUCUUAUGAAGUUAGCGGCGGACGGGUGAGUAACACGUGGGUAACCUGCCCAUAAGACUGGGAUAACUCCGGGAAACUGGGGCUAAUACCGGAUAACAUUUUGAACCGCAUGGUUCGAAAUUGAAAGGCGGCUUCGGCUGUCACUUAUGGAUGGAACCGCGUCGCAUUAGCUAGUUGGUGAGGUAACGGCUCACCAAGGCAACGAUGCGGAGCCGACCUGAGAUGGUGAUCGGCCACCCUGGGACUGAGACACGGCCCAGACUCCUACGGGAGGCAGCAGUAGGGAAUCUGCCGCAAUGGACGAAAGUCUGACGGAGCAACGCCGCGUGAGUGAUGAAGGCUUUCGGGUCGUAAAACUCUGUUGUUAGGGAAGAACAAGUGCUAGUUGAAUAAGCUGGCACCUUGACGGUACCUAACCAGAAAGCCACGGCUAACUACGUGCCAGCCGCCGCGGUAA